rnacentral:rRNA from 1 species
GUCUACGGCCAUAUCACCCUGAAUGCACCCAAUCUCAUCUGCUCUCGGAAGCUAAGUAGGGUUAGGCCUGGUUAGUACUUGGAUGGAGUAGUAU